rnacentral:rRNA from 1 species
GAUGAACGCUGGCGGCGUGCCUAAUACAUGCAAGUCGAGCGAACAGACGAGGAGCUUGCUCCUCUGACGUUAGCGGCGGACGGGUGAGUAACACGUGGAUAACCUACCUAUAAGACUGGGAUAACUUCGGGAAACCGGAGCUAAUACCGGAUAAUAUAUUGAACCGCAUGGUUCAAUAGUGAAAGACGGUUUUGCUGUCACUUAUAGAUGGAUCCGCGCCGCAUUAGCUAGUUGGUAAGGUAACGGCUUACCAAGGCAACGAUGCGUAGCCGACCUGAGAGGGUGAUAGGCCACACGGGAACUGAGACACGGUCAAGACUCCUACGGGAGGCAGCAGUAGGGAAUCUUCCGCAAAGGGCGAAAGCCUGACGGAGCAACGCCGCGUGAGUGAUGAAGGUCUUCGGAUCGUAAAACUCUGUUAUUAGGGAAGAACAAAUGUGUAAGUAACUAUGCACGUCUUGACGGUACCUAAUCAGAAAGCCACGGCUAACUACGUG